ACAAGAACAAAUGAGUUACAUUAACAACACAAGAAGCCGAAACUAAAACAAGAUACAAGAUAGAUAGUUAGACAAGUGUUGAUGUAGUCUUAACAACCCAAGAGGAUAUUCCACUCUUGGACCUUUAACACUUCACACAACAAACACCUAACUCUUACAAUUGACAUAAGAGAGGAGUCCACCACCCAAGCACCAACGUAUCAAGCAAAAUGCAACACACAAGAGAAUCCACCCUUAUGCUAUGUCCUAGUUUCGGUUGUGGACUCUCUCUCUAAGAGGAGUGUUCUUUCUUCAACAUUCAUAAAAACUACCAAUUAAAACCCUACAAUGUUCAAUUAAUAUUACAUUACAAAAUAAAAGACAAAAGACUAAAAGACCCUUUAAAGAAAAGGGCUCCAAAAACAACCCAUGGAGUGUGCUUGGGAUGGUUUUGGGCCUCCUUCAAACUUAGACUUGUGCACUCUUUAGGUGGUCUUCAAAAUACUCAAAAAGUGGACAUGAUCGUGAUCGUAUUCGUAUCAUCCUCUUCAUCUUUAGAGGAAUUUGACCACAAAUUCACGUCUUCACCUCGUGUAAUUGGCCCUCUAAAAGAAACCACCCAAAACAGUCCGCAAAACAUCAAGAAAGUGCACAAAACAGUCCACGAAAAAACAAAGGGAACCCGAGGAUACAAUGAGAACAAGUCUCGGCUAUCAUCUUGAUUUUGAACCUCGGCUUCCUCUCCAUCUUGAGCCUUGUCUUCAAUCUCAUCCGAAACAAGUCUCCUACCAUCAUACAAGCAUUGUCGUAUACCCCGUAUCCUUUAUGUUCCUUUCUACCAUUCUCUUCUAUAUGGACAUGUCGGGUUUGGUGUAGUGGAGCUUCGGUUGAGAGUCUUGCUUUGGUUAAGUGGGGUUCGGUUGUGGAGUUUGGAUGGGAGGAAAUUUGCUUCCAAGUCCUCCUUGUUGGACUUGAUUAACUUGCGGGGGAAGUGGUCUAUCUUAUUCUCGGUUUUGAGGUCUAUUUGGAGCUUGAAUUUUGGCAUUAUGUGGUGGUCUUGGAGGAUUGGUCAUUGGAAGUAAAGUUGCCGGAGUAAAAGCACGAUAGUUCCUUAGACUCUCCAUUCGAUCCAACCUCUCACUCAUAGUUACCACAUCCGAGUCAAUUUUUUCAAGAUCUACAUUUGCCCUAGAAAUUUCUCGGGACAAAGCAUCAAGGAGGGCCAAAAUGGUUUCCAUUAUGGCCAAAAGUUACCUACAAAACAACAAACAAGUUAGUUGUACAAGAAUGAUCCUCACACUCCCUCUCUAUUUUUUUGUCUCUCGGAUUUUUCACACUUUGAUCUCACAAGUGUCGUAACCUUUCUUGUACUCCAUGAGGCAUUGAGAGGUGGACCAAGUAUUACAACGAGUCAAAAGAAUAACACACACAAAAGAACGUAUACACGGAGAACGGUUUCAAAAUUAACUUACAUUCUAUUACUAGCUUGUAAGUUAGUAAUGGAAUCAACAAACGAAACUAAAGAAACAAUAAAAUGAAACUAAGAAAUCUAAAAUUUGAGCUUAAAAAUUGUGAACAGUAAAAAUAUGAUGAUGUGGCAACCCUCAAUUGGCCACAGUUUUGUCAAGUUUUAUUGUCCAAGGUUCAAGUCUUGACCAAUUUUUGAUCUAGAUUGGUGGAAUUAUUUAAGGAGGGAAAGAAUACGUAUUGGAACUCUUUUUUAACUCAAGUUUCAAGACUUGGACUUUUGUAGUAUUUUCUCUUAAAACAAGGCCCUCAAAACAUGGAAGUUGGUUGGAAAAGGGUUGUAAAGUUUUUGAGUGGUUGGAAGUGGUGGUAAAAGUCUUUGAUGACUAACAAAUACUACACAUCCUUCCUUCUCCCUCUUAUAUAUAACAUUUUCAAUAAAAGAUGAAGAUUGGUGAAGAACACCAAGAACACAAACUUUUAAACCUUGGAGUCUAAGGUUCAAGUUGGUCUCACACUUCAAUCAACACUUUGUCAAGUUCCACCUUUCAACAACAACUUCAACAAUAAGUUAUUAAGCCACCAAUUCACAACAAUAACACAAUUUCAAGCUCAAGAACUCAACAACAACAACACCAACCUUCAACAAUAAGGAUCAACACAUGGCCACUUCAAGUUCACAACAACAAUGUCAAUGUUAUAAGCUCAACCUUUAGAUCUAGACACUUUUAGUGUUGGUGAUAAAGAACCAACACUAGAAACACACUAGACAAACAAAAUAACUACAAUAUAUAGUCAAGAAAAAUAAGAAAAUCUCAGCCAAGACAACAACACAACACAAUUUUUGGCCAAGAACACAAAAAUGGACAGAUUGCUAUUUUUUGGAAUUUUUCAGUUUUUAUAAUUUUUUUUUGACUAAUCAAACCCAAGAUUGGAUUUGUGGGAACAAAAAUCAGCCUUUAUUUGAUUCCAAAUGAUACGGAACAAACAAGGGAACACGAAAUCACAGCCCAAACAAUCCACCAAUGAUAUGGGUCAAAGAGGCAUCUUAGCACUCGAGGACAUGAAGACGUGAGUGAAGACCCAAGAUUGUGGGUCUGCCCAUCCAAGGAACAAGCUUUGAAGUGUAUGGAACAAGUCCCACACUCCAAAGCUGUUACUGUUCAUCCAUCACUAUUCAUCCUCCCAUUUGCAAGGGUUUUUUGGUCAUUUGUAAUAAGUUACCCUAGCUAUAAAUAUAACCUUAUUAGGUAAUUUUGGGGCAGAUUUUUUAUGAUAUUUUUAGCCUCUUUUGAGAGCCUCUUAGCAAGGUGGAAUCCUUGGGCAAGGUGGAAUCCUUGUGUAGAUCAUUUUCUUAGAAAUGGAGAUUGCUUGGGGAAUUCUGGUUUCCUUGAGGUCACGUAAGAGAUAGGUUUAGGUUGUGUGUGAUAUUAAAGGUCCAAAAGUGGAAUAAUCUUUUGGGUUUUUAAUAUUAUACCAUUCCUUUGUCUAUCUAUCUAUCUUUACUUUCUUGUAAUUAUUUGUCUAUAUGUGUUGUUAUUAUUGCAUCUUGUUCAUCAAGUGUUGUUGCUGUUUUAGUGUGUUUUACUCUUGAUAUCACUUUUCUUCUUGCUCUUCUUGCGAAUCCGAGAGAGGUCAUCAAAAGGGUCCAUAGUUCUUGAACUAGUGAACUAAUUUUGGUGUUUGUGUUGUUGGGUUCUUGGGGAAUUUGGUAUCAUUUGGUAUCAGAGCAUGGCUAGAUCUUGUUCCUACAAAAUCAAUCUUGGUCUUGCUUGUUAGAAAAUUCAAAAAAAAAGUUGAAAUCUAAAAAUUCCAAAAAGAAGCAAAUCUGUCCAUUUUUGUGUCUUGGCCGAAAUUGUGUUCUUUGCUUCCUCACCUCUAACACUAAAGAAUUCUAGAUCUAGAUUUAAGCUUUAAUUGCUGAUGUUGUUGUUGUGAACCUAAACUUUGGCCGUGUGAUUGUUGUUGGUAUUGUUGUUGCGGAUUCAAAGCUUGGACGUGUGGUGUGUUGUUGGUUCAAGGUUUGAACGUGUAUAGUGGUUAUUGUAUUGUAUUUUAAGCUUGGAAAGGUGUUGUUGAUGUUUGGGGUCCAAAUUGAACCUUAGAACUUCAAGAUUCAAAAAUUAUGUUAUUCACAUCUUCAUCUAUUAUUGAAGAAAAAGUGGAUAUUUGAUCUUGGAAGUUGAAGAAAGAGAGAGUGUAUUUUGUUAGUCUUGAAAGAAAAAUUUCC
rnacentral:lncRNA from 1 species